CGGACGGGUGAGUAACGCGUGGGUAACCUGCCUCAUACAGGGGGAUAACGAUUGGAAACGAUUGCUAAUACCGCAUAAGCGCACAGUACCACAUGGUACAGUGUGAAAAACUCCGGAGGUAUGAGAUGGACCCGCGUCUGAUUAGCUAGUUGGUGAGGUAACGGCCCACCAAGGCAACGAUCAGUAGCCGACCUGAGAGGGUGACCGGCCACAUUGGGACUGAGACACGGCCCAG
rnacentral:rRNA from 1 species